rnacentral:misc_RNA from 1 species
UCCGGCUUAUCACCGGCAGUCCCCUUAGAGUGCCCAACUGAAUGCUGGCAACUGGAGGCAAGGGUUGCGCUCGUUGCGGGACUUAACCCAACACCUCACGGCACGAGCUGACGACAGCCAAGCAGCACCUGUGCUAGUACCCGACUCUACGGGUCGCCGACCCUUUCGGGCGACUACUACCAGCAUGUCAAGCCCUGGUAAGGUUCUUCGCUUUGCAUCGAAUUAAGCCACGCGCUCCGCCGCUUGUGCGGGCCCCCGUCAAUUCCUUUGAGUUUCAACCUUGCGGCCGUACUCCCCAGGCGGGGAACUUACUCCGUUAGGUGCGGCACCGGCGGUAACCCGCCGACACUUAGUUCCCAUCGUUUAGGGCGUGGACUAC